rnacentral:lncRNA from 1 species
AAUUAGCCCCAUAAUGCAACAUACACAUAGUUAUCGAGCAGUUAAAAUAUACAUCUGCCUUGUCUAGUAACAUAUGUAAACUAUUUCCCCAUGCAGAUAGCAUCCAGGAGAUUUUCAGCUAUGCUUGUUCACUACAUUUUUCUCAUUUGCUUGCAACCAUUCUCUCUCAAAUUUCUACUAUUUUUUCAAAAUUUCUACUUGACCUAGCCAUCGAAAGGUCACAGCAGAAUGAAAUUUUGUAAAUGAAAUUCUUUUCUUAUUUUC